UCAGCAGGUCAGGGAUAUGCAUUUUGGGCAGACAAAUCCUGGUUCUGAUCCUGGUUCUAUCACUUGAUGAUAUAGACAAUUUCUUUUCUUACUACUAGCUUGCUGCUAAGUAAAAUUGUCUUCUGACUCCAUAAAUGGUGUUCUAAACUACUAGGAUAAAUUGACAAGACAGUCAUUAUCCCUCUACCCAAGGACAGCACAGCAGGAGAGACUCCUUAAUAUCUGCAACCUGAAACCAGACAUGGCUGCUCAUGGCUAUACCUCUCCAGAAGGUGGGAGGCUGAGUCAGGAGAGUUGUUUCAAGUUUGAAGCUAGCCUGGCAUAUGAGUUCGAGCUCUAGAGUCUCACAGUGAAGCCUCAUCUCAAUAAAACAAAAUAAAUAAAUGAAUUAAAAAUAUGUGACUACACCCAGGAAUCCAUGGAGCUGGACUGCCUAGAAGGGGUAUUAUUCUAGAAUUCUCCUUUUUAGCACCAUGUUGAUGACUUCUUCUAACCCAAAACCAUGUAAAGUACAAAUAGUGAUAUUUUAUUUGGGAGGUUGAAAACCAAAAUGUUAGAAGUGACAAAAUGUAAGUGGGGUUGCCAAGAAUGGGGAACGGUGGCAGAGCCAGGUGAUGCUUUCUCAAGCUUGCACUGCUUCGUGACCAGCCCUGAUGAGGUCACAGGGUGUCACAGGUGGCUUUGGAGAAAUCCCCGUAGGCUAUAUUGGGAGAAAGAAUGACUUGCACAAUUUGUGGAAAGAAAUCAAGAAGGCAGAAUUUCUCUAUCUCCCAUUCUCCCACUGGUCAAGUUUUACACUGUAUUAGCUCCUUUCCAAGUUCAAGUUGCUAUUGCCACAUGGAAUACCAGAUAGUAGGUUCUGUGGCAUUCCAUUCAAGUCUUGUGGGAAGAAACCAAAGCUCGAGGCAUGUGGCUAGUAUGUACCAUGGAGCAUCUGAUGUGGAACGUAUGACAGGAUCAGUGUAAUCCAACGACACUUUUCUCAUUUUCCAAUAGACGAGUAACAUGCAGUGUUCAAAUACCUUUCUUUCCCAAGGUCAUAUGGCUACUGAGAGGUGGUUUCAAGGCAUUAGCAUAGUCUGUCUCUGGAAACUGUACAAGACCAAGGUCGAAAACUUGCCACACAAGCCUGACAACUGAUCCCAGAACCCACAAAAAGCCAAAUGAGACUCUCUAACCUCAGCACUCUCGAUGGGAGGUGGAAGGGAGAGAGAGAGGAGUCACAGUUGGGACGGCAAGCCCGGGUACUGAGGGACAAGAAGGACCUUCCCUCCACAAGGUAAACUCUUUAAACGGAGGAUAAACAACUCAAAAUAGUUUCAGGAAGUCCCUGAAAUAGAGCAGAUUGACUAGGCCCCUCCCUUCCAGAGGAAGCAAUAAGAGCCAAGAGUUCCCCUGAGAGGAGCAGAGCCAACCUGCUAAGAAGAAUCUCAACCUAGUCAAGUUGCAAAAGAAGACUUUGAAGCAAAACCAAUUGCCUGGAAGAAGCAAAAACCCACCAAGCUGCCUGAAAAAGGUUUGGGGCAACUGAGGUACCUGGAAAGGACAUACUCCAACUGAGCUGCCUUUACGUUGUGACAUGUGUUCCGGUUCCCAGCUUUGUGAGCUGCCACCCAUGACAAGCAUCCUGAUCCAGAGACCACACCUUCCACUUGCUGCCCUGUUAUUGUGCCUUUAUGGUCCUAACCCUGUGGUACAGUUAACCGGAUCUACCCUUCCUUCUUGUUGCUUUUAGGAGCCUUGCUGACACAGACUACAACAUCACUGAAAAUUCCCACCCCAUCACUGAAAGCCUGCAUCACUAGAGUCCCCUGCACAACACCAGGCAGUCAGCUACACCACUCAACAAAGAUGUUCUCUCCUCCAGUGCUGCUCCCUGCCCACACAGCCUCAGGAAGAUGCUUGUGAGUCUUCUAAUAGUGAACUCUGGUUCCUACUUCGACCGAAGGUGAAUUCCACAUCUCUGAUCACAUCUACCAAGCUGCUGAAAACGGAGCCUUCAAACUUCUGAGUGCAAAGGAUGACUUACCUGAUGUAUAUACGGAAGACGCAUUCUCUGCCCACGCUCUGGAUGCCCCUUCCUUGUCUGGCCGUGAGCGUUAUUCUACUAAACCACACCUGUCUUCCUAGUCAACUUCCUGUCUGUGACACUCCAGUGAGCACUCCCCCCUUUCACGAGUCUUCCGUCCUCCUUCUCCCUCAGACCACAAGCUCAUUUCCAAUGGCCACCUGAAACAACCAUCUAGAUGAGUUUUAGCAGUUAUUUCCAACUUAGUCUCCAACCGAGUCCCUAUGCUUCCCUGCCCUAAAGGAAUCUGUCUCAUCUGCAGUGUUUAAAAUCUCAACACUAUGAUUUCAUUUUGCUGAAGCCAAAACCUUGGCGUAACCUUGCCUCUCCUCCUGGACAAUCUCCUUGUAAAAUCCCAGUGGCUCUAACUUCAAAGCAGAACAGAGGAUCACUUCUCUACAAAUCCGUUGCUCUCCUUCUAGCUCAAGGCAUCAGGAGUUCUUGCUUUGACCCUCCUAAUUAGUGUCCCUGCUUCUGACUUUAACUUGUCAUGGGAUAUCACAGCAGAGUGAUUUAUUUAAAGUACAAUUUUAAUAAUGUCUAUUUAAAUUUUUCCAAGGGCUUUGCAUUUGACUGGGUAAAAAAAAAAUCCUCGCUGUGGACUCUAAUAAAUAACUUGCCCCUCGUCAACACUUCACCUUUCUUUUCUCAAAUGCUUUCCUUUCCAUCCGCUUCCCAACUUCAUUUCAGCAUCAUUGGGCUGGCUCACUGUCCCCAGCACAUCAAGAACACUCUUAAUUUAGGCUCCUUUCCACGUAUAGCUCCUCCAUCUGGAACGCUCUUCUCUCAGAUAUUUAUAUGGCAUUUCCUCCCUUCUUUCAGGGUUCUCCCUGAAUAUUAUUGUACAGAGACACCCCCAUGAGCAUUCUUCCAUGUCCAGGUAAAGACGGAGAACGGAGCAAAUGCACUUCUCUCUGCACUCUCCUCAAACUCACUGAGUUGCAGUUAAUAAUACUAUCUUAUCCCCCAAACUCACAAAACCAAAGAUAAUAAGAGACAUUGAGGUCUUGAAAGAUACUUGAAAAGUCAUAAUAGAAAUACACACACACACACACACACACACACACACACACACACACACACACACACACCACUCUGGGGUUAUUCUAGCAUUUCUCAAUAUCACUUAGCCUAGGAAAGUAGAAAUAAAUAUAUUUAAUUCCUAUUCCCUUCCCCCUAGAAUAUUGUCUGUAUGUAUAUUUUCAGUCUUUUCAGGUUUCCUUGGUGCUGUGUUUCUAGGCCUUGAAAUCAUGAUAUAAUUUAAUCCAAUACCAAUUUUGAGCUGAGCAACUAGGGACUGGGUGAAUCCCAGUUUGGUGGUCUGCAAUGGGUAAAAUGGUCUGCAUUGGGAGAGAUCCAUGAGAUCCUAGUGAUAAUAUUAAUUAAAAAGUUGAUAUUUGGAGAUGAAGAAUAGAUCAGGGUCAAAAGUGAAGUGAUUAAAAAAUAAUAAAAUAAAAAAUUGCAAUGAUUAACAUUUUAAUUAAACAAGUUGAUUUCGAGGGAUCAUGAACACAACAUGAGAGAAAAGUGGAGUUCUGAACCCUAAAAGGUAACAUAAUUUAGUGGUCAGGCAGAAUAGAUUUCAACCCUUUAUAACUGUAUUCUAUCGCCUGUAUGAAGAGAAAGGACUAAUGCAGACUAACAGCGUGUAGCCAUUAAUUCAUAAAUAGUGCAUGCAUAUCAUUGCACAGCUACAUCAAGCAUAUUUUAAGAUGCUUCACUGUAGAUAUUAGAAACAAUGAGCUGAAGGAUUCCAGUUAGAGGAAGUACUGAACACAUGCACUUCAGCUCCCUCUUGGAGGCUUAUUAGAGGGAUAGUAAAUAGAUUUUUUACUAUUAAAGAGGUAUAAACCAUCAAGGACUUUUAGAGCCAAGAGAACAAAACCAAAAGAAUACCACCAGUGUGGAAGAUGUCUGAAAGAAGAAAGAUGAAUGGAAACUGAGUCACUAGACCCAGAAAAGCUGAAGUGCUUGUGGGGAAAGCAGAAGGAAACUGAUUAGCAACACAGUACCUAUCUUCCCCAAGGUCUCCAGCAAGGCUCAGGAAUUGGGCACCUCUGCCGGGGAAGUGUAUGCUGCACAGUAAUACUUAGCCCACUGCUCAUUUAGAAGCAGUUACACCCCACCCCUUACAAACCAGCACCACUCUGUACCACCCAAUGUCUAGCUCCCUAUUCCACAAAGCAAUAGAUGAGAGUUUAUUCCUGAGGGAGUUAAGCAGGGAGCCUGGAUAAAGGGUGCCAGGCAUACUUAAGGAUAGAAAUUCUAAACAGAACAUGAGUUUACUAAGUUGAAAUCAACGUCAGACUGCUUAAAACAGCAAUAUCAACAAGGGGCGCCUGUGCUACGAAGGGAUAUGGAGGCAAACAGCCAAAGAACAAUGUUUUGAUAUGUGGUGAUGAAAUUCACCCACAUAAAGGCAACUUUAAAAUCACGAAGGCUAUAAAACAGGGUGUUUUCUUUUUUAUUUCUUAUAGGCAUUUCAAAUAUUUGUUUCUAUUUCUUUUAAAAUACAUGGCUUGUUUGAACAUUAUCUUGGUACAUGACUGUAGACAUUUUAAAGUAAUUGCAUUUUUGCAUCCUGGGUUGGAAGUAGGCAUAAAUAUUGAUUUUCUUCUUCACUGUGUAACAGAUGACAUGGAGUGUGUUUUGAGCACUGUGGUAUCACCAAAACUUAUUUUUGCAUUUCUCGUGAUGUGUCUACAGAAACAGUCUUUGGAGACAUAAUAAAAUCCUAAAUUUGUAGAG